GCUUAAGUAAAUUAUAGUUGGGAUCAUAAUAAGAAAACAUGUUUUUAUUUUCUGUGUACCCUGGGUACAGACCAGUAUAAACAUGGGAUUCUUCCCAAUAAAUGCUGUCUGAUAAUGCUUCAUAUUGCAUUAAACACUAGAUAUGUAAGCAAACAAACAAAAACCCAUAGAAGCCAGUUUUAAUUAUUAAAUGUGACAAUUACAUGGAGAUGGAAAGUAAACAUGCUUAUACACGUCUCUGUGAUUACAGAAAAUCCACACAGAUGCUGUCAGAGCAGAGAAUCUUUGAUUUAUCAGAAUGAUGAAUGCAAAUGAUUUCAUGAAAUCUCACUCUUGUUCUGGGUUGUAAAAUUCACCUGUCCAGUUAAACCGAAUCCUUUGCAACACAGUUCUAAGAACCCAUCAACCUCAUCCUCAGCUCUCUGCCUGUUGUCCUUUUCAGCUGAGUAUUCAUCCACAUGUGUUUCAACUUCUCUCUCAUUUUCAAGCAAAUUGCUCAGGCUCUCAGCUUCAGCACAGUUACCAUAUGGCCACUCUCUGAGGUCUUCUGUGUUCAAGCCAAACAAAUUCUUACAUGAUCUGCAAGGCUUCAUUCUGGCACCAUCACGGAGACAAAAAGCCUCACACCUGAUAUUUCCAGGUCAGGUUUUGUUCCCUCCCUUUGAAUUAAUCUUCUUCAUAUUGAAGUGGCGAGCCGGUAGGACCAUUCUUUGUUUCCCCUCUUUCCCCCACUUAGCCGUCUUUGGAUUACGGACAUAUUUCCCCAUUUGUAUGAAGCUGGACUCUAAGGAGGAAUACCUUAAAAGUGAACUUUAAAAAGAAGAGGACCAAAAAGGACUUUUGCACAGAAAGAUCACAGCAUUGAUUUAUUAUUUAAUUGUGGGCAUUUAUGUUGUGUGUUGUGUUAAUUAUUUUGUUCCAUUUCCCCUUUCCUCCAUUUAUUCAAUAUAUUUUUGGUACAAGAUAUUGCAGUCUUUGGUCUCAUCAUUCACACCAUCUAGGCUCCAUAAAGAACUAUUUCUUCUGCGCGUCAGUCAGUAAACUCAUCCAUUGAAAUAAACUAGUCCUUAAAUAACUUUGAGUUACACAGUGGCAAAUGUAAUAGAGAAAGACACAGGGCCACCUGAAAUCUGUCGUCCUAUCUGAUUCAAAACCAAC
ensembl:lncRNA